rnacentral:lncRNA from 1 species
GGAUGAGAAUUGUCCGUCGGUUCUGUAAAAUUUUAUGUGUCUUGAUUUUUUUAGGUUGCUUUCGUAUUAAAUUAGUAUAAUUAUUUAUUAAAAAAAAAAAUCUGUGGGUGAGCAACAGUAGUCUCAAACAGACCAUUGUUUGGGAAUGGCAAACAAGGGGCGAAGGGACCAAGGGAGGGGCUCUGCGUCCUCCAAUUAAGAGG